rnacentral:rRNA from 1 species
CGGGGGGAUUGCCUCAGUUAACGGCGAGUGAAGCGGCAAGAGCUCAAAUUUGAAAGCUGGCUCCUUCGGGGUCCGCAUUGUAAUUUGCAGAGGAUGCUUCGGGAGCGGCCCCCAUCUAAGUGCCCUGGAACGGGCCGUCAUAGAGGGUGAAAAUCCCGUCUGGGAUGGGGUGUCCGCGCCCGUGUGAAGCUCCUUCGACGAGUCGAGUUGUUUGGGAAUGCAGCUCUAAAUGGGUGGUAAAUUUCAUCUAAAGCUAAAUAUUGGCCGGAGACCGAUAGCGCACAAGUAGAGUGAUCGAAAGAUGAAAAGCACUUUGAAAAGAGAGUUAAACAGCACGUGAAAUUGUUGAAAGGGAAGCGCUUGCGACCAGACUCGCCCACGGGGUUCAGCCGGCAUUCGUGCCGGUGUACUUCCCCGCGGGCGGGCCAGCGUCGGUUUGGGCGGCCGGUCAAAGGCCCUCGGAAUGUAACGCCCCCCGGGGCGUCUUAUAGCCGAGGGUGCCAUGCGGCCAGCCCAGACCGAGGAACGCGCUUCGGCUCGGACGCUGGCAUAAUGGUCGUAAGCGACCCGUCUUGAAACACGGACCAAGGUAGCGCAUACUGAAGAGAGUUCCGGGUGUGGGUGGCCGGGGCUU